GACGAACGCUGGCGGCGUGCUUAACACAUGCAAGUCGAACGAAAAGAGGGAAAGAGCUUGCUCUUUCCGGAAUUGAGUGGCAAACGGGUGAGUAACACGUAAACAACCUGCCUUCAGGAUGGGGACAACAGACGGAAACGACUGCUAAUACCGAAUAAGUUCCAAGGGCCGCAUGGCCCAUGGAAGAAAAGGUGGCCUCUACCUGUAAGCUAUCGCCUGAAGAGGGGUUUGCGUCUGAUUAGCUGGUUGGAGGGGUAACGGCCCACCAAGGCGACGAUCAGUAGCCGGUCUGAGAGGAUGAACGGCCACACUGGAACUGAGACACGGUCCAGACGCCUACGGGAGGCAGCAGUGGGGAAUCUUCCGCAAUGGGCGAAAGCCUGACGGAGCAACGCCGCGUGAGUGAUGACGGCCUUCGGGUUGUAAAACUCUGUGAUCCGGGACGAAAAGGCAGAGUGCGAAGAACAAACUGCAUUGACGGUACCGGAAAAGCAAGCCACGGCUAACUACGUG
rnacentral:rRNA from 1 species